AAGUCGUAACAAGGUUUCCGUAGGUGAACCUGCGGAAGGAUCAUUACCGAGUUAGGGUUCUCUGAGCCCGAUCUCCCCACCCUUUGUUUAAACCACUUUGUUGCUUUGGCAGGCCCGUCCUCAACGGGACCGCUGGAGGCGUUCAAUCACCUCUAGUCAGUGUCUGCCAGUAGCCACUUCAAAUCCUUUUAACUAUGUCGUCUGAUAAAUUAAUUAUAAAUUUAAUUAAAA
rnacentral:misc_RNA from 1 species